rnacentral:lncRNA from 1 species
AAAGCUGAUGUUUCAUAAAAUAGAUCCAUGUGUGGCAAGAAAAAUUAUCUAUAAAUAUGAUAUAAUAUCGAUGACCCCCUUUCAAAACGAAUGGAGCCGGACCCCAUACAUCAGAAUGAACAAGAUCAAAAGGAUGUUUUGACACCGACUCACUAGAAUAAUAAGGAAGCUGUAGCUGUUUUCCUAGUCGACAACCCUGACACUGAUCCAAAGAUACAUCACCAGAAACUGACCCUAAAAGACCACGACAAACUAGCGUAGACAAACGUGAGCCACAAAGAUGUCCUGGACGAUGAUGCCACUGAGCAAACGAUGAUGUAGAUGAUGUAGAAGAAGCGACUGAGCCCACAAGAUUGGCAGAGGCAGCAGAAGGAAGACGAAGCCAGUCAAGCUCCCAAAGACGCUGAUAAUCACGUCGACGAGGGCCAGUACCAACUAGGAGACCCGUGCUGCGAUCCUAAAUACAACAAGAGUCAGAAUUAAUGAUAACACGACAACCAUGAUUAGUGAGCUGGCCAGCCGAGAUAAGCUGCAUGGUUAGUUUGGGAACAUGAGAAACAACAACAUGAAAAGAGGAAGACAAAAGAGUGCCUCGUCCUGCAACAGAGAGAGGCGAUCCAUCUGCGGUUUGAACAAUGAUGGAAGAGAUGGAGUACUAAUGGAAGAAAGACUGGUAUGAUCAGGAGUCAUAUGAAAAGAAGCACCAAAAUCUAGAAUCCAUGGAAAAGUACCUGAAGAAGAAGACUGAGAAGCAACAACAGAACCGGGCGGUGCAGAAGCCUGAGUAACAGAACCAACAGCUCCUGCGGGUGUAGAGGCAGCUAGGCGACGAAGCAACAUGAGCGUCUCCUAUGUCUCAGAACCAGCAGAACUCCGCUGAGAACCUCCAGUACCAGAAUCACUAGCACCACUAGUACCCUGUGAAGAACGACCACCUUGGUGAGACUGAGCCUUCUUCCUGUAACAAUAUGCCUCCACAUGGUUAUCCCUGCCACACUAGUCCAUUUAAGACCACCACCCCCUCUACUCUUAGAAGAAAGCACUACCGAAGAAGGCGCCAUAGGUGGAGGAGCGGAGGCCUUGGAAGAAGAACGAGCAGCCAAGACUGAAGAAGACGAAGACUGCAACAGGCCAGCACUACAAAGAUGUAUCUUCUCAUUACGAACAACAGCAAGAGCAUCCAUCAGAGAAAUACAAGGCUCACAAGAAACCAGCUGAGCACGAAGCUGCUCAAACUCAUCACGAAGACAGGUCAAAAAAUCAUGGGUGCGCCUAGUCUCCAGAGCAACCUUCUGAGCCUUACAAGACUCACAAGUGCUAGGUGAUAGUGGAGGACCAAUAGAGUCAAGCCGACGCAACACUGCAGACAUUUGAGCAAAGAACUCCUCAACUGUAGAGUCACCCUGUCGCAAUAGUUGUUCUUGACGUAGAGCAACAAUAUACGUAGACUGAUCGGCGGGCUCAUAACGCUGAUGAAGAAAAGCCCACAUCUGAUGUGCAUAAUUAAAAGCAACAAUAUCUAUAGAAAGACUCUCCUCCACACUAGCAGAACCAGCACGAGCAUCCUCAUCCAACCAAGCCUUGGGUGCAACAAACUGAGAGUGAUAUGAUGCCAGCUCAUCCUCGAAAUCAUCAAGCAGCUUCUUCUGAUUGGCCUCAGCAGCUGUAGCAGGAAUAAUUGGCCUGACAGAAGGUGUAGGAGGAGCUGCAGGACAGGGUAGAUCACCCGUAAGAAAUUCCAUAGACGCAAACCACGCAUGUGCAGACGCAGACGAGGAACCCAGUCGCGAUAGUUGGUGCCAUUGAAAAGCAUCGGACAUUGCAUAACCUGCACACCACCGGAUGGAGGAACUGAAGAAGAUGACAUCUCCAAACAACACAGUUGACGGCAAGAGCGCAAAGGAAGCGGCAAUCAACGGCAAGAGCACAAAGGGAAAGCGGCAGGAGCUUUUUUUACUGACCUGCGCUACUGGUCCUCAACAGCCAACCGUGUACUGCAGAAACAAAGCAACGCACGAACAGAAGCAACAGAGAGUACGCAGAACAACAACAAUUUUUUUUUCUUUUUUUCUUUUCUUUUCUUUUUUUAAUCAAACAGAUCUGCUACUCUAAUUCCCCUUUGUAUCAGAGAAUUGCUAUGCACGAGCACACAGCUAAGCAGAGAGAGAACAGAGAGAUGCAGACUUGACCAAACGAGAUGGGAAGAGAGCAGCCGGACGGUGGGCAAACGGAGGAACCGCAUAAUUGAUUCCAUGAUGGAUGAAUCAAGCUAGGGCAACGAGCUCCACGGCCGAUCGUGCUUCAUGGGCGAUGGGAAGCUGCUCGGACCUGCGACCCGCGGGUCGGCGGCGCGAGAGAGCCGGCAACAUGCGAACGAGGCGGAGAGCCGCACCAAUCGAUGGAGGAGCUGUGGGACAAGGUCGGCAAGGGGCACUGAUAGAAAGAAGCGACGGAUGGCGGAAGGAAUCGAUGAUGUGCUCAAAACGAAGAGCAGGGGAAAAUCGAUCCAAUGGGCUGGUGAUCAGAGGCACGCAAGUGCAACAUGCAGGGGGGGGAUCACCUAGGGCAGAUGAGAAGAAAUCUAAACCCUAGUUUGGCUCUGUACCAUAUUAG